GAUGAACGCUGGCGGCGUGCCUAAUACAUGCAAGUCGAGCGAACAGACGAGGAGCUUGCUCCUCUGACGUUAGCGGCGGACGGGUGAGUAACACGUGGAUAACCUACCUAUAAGACUGGGAUAACUUCGGGAAACCGGAGCUAAUACCGGAUAAUAUAUUGAACCGCAUGGUUCAAUAGUGAAAGACGGUUUUGCUGUCACUUAUAGAUGGAUCCGCGCCGCAUUAGCUAGUUGGUAAGGUAACGGCUUACCAAGGCGACGAUGCGUAGCCGACCUGAGAGGGUGAUCGGCCACACUGGACUGAGACACGGUCCAGACUCCUACGGGAGGCAGCAGUAGGGAAUCUUCCGCAAUGGGCGAAAGCCUGACGGAGCAACGCCGCGUGAGUGAUGAAGGUCUUCGGAUCGUAAAACUCUGUUAUUAGGGAAGAACAAAUGUGUAAGUAACUAUGCACGUCUUGACGGUACCUAAUCAGAAAGCCACGGCUAACUACGUG
rnacentral:rRNA from 1 species